rnacentral:rRNA from 1 species
GUCCAGACUCCUACGGGAGGCAGCAGUGGGGAAUAUUGCACAAUGGGGGAAACCCUGAUGCAGCGACGCCGCGUGAGUGAAGAAGUAUUUCGGUAUGUAAAGCUCUAUCAGCAGGGAAGAUAAUGACGGUACCUGACUAAGAAGCCCCGGCUAACUACGUGCCAGCAGCCGCGGUAAUACGUAGGGGGCAAGCGUUAUCCGGAUUUACUGGGUGUAAAGGGUGCGUAGGUGGCAUGGCAAGUCAGAAGUGAAAGCCCGGGGCUCAACCCCGCGGACUGCUUUUGAAACUGUCAGGCUGGAGUACAGGGGAGGUAAGCGGAAUUCCUAGUGUAGCGGUGAAAUGCGUAGAUAUUAGGAGGAACACCAGUGGCGAAGGCGGCUUACUGGACUGUAACUGACACUGAGGCACGAAAGCGUGGGGAGCAAACAGGAUUAGAUACCCCCGUAA